rfam:Oryza meridionalis cultivar OR44 (W2112) chromosome 11, whole genome shotgun sequence.
AAUAAAUGUAGUUUUGUACUAUUUUUAUCCAGCAUUUGAUCGUUCCUCUUAUUUAAAAUAUUUUUAUAAUUACUAUUUUUAUUAUUAUUGAUGAUAAAAUAUGAAUAGUACUUUAUGUGUGACUAAUUUUUUUUAGUUUUUUCAUAAAUUUUUCAAGUAAGACAGACGGUCAAAUGUUGGACACGGAUUUUUAUAACUUCACUUAUU